UAGCGGUCGCUCAUCGAUGUACUAACCAGGCCCGACCCUGCUUAGCUUCCGAGGUCAGACGAGAUCGGGCGCGUCCAGCGUGUUAUGGCCGUUA
rnacentral:misc_RNA from 1 species